AUGUCGCGAGGUCAUUUUUUCAAUUUAGUCCUUGCCGUUCUCCCGACCAAACCCGCGGUGCUCGUCCUUCCUCAGUCUUCUCCGACGCCGGUUGAUUUGGUCGCCGCGCCCCCGCCGCCUCCGCCUUGCUUCCCUCCCGCCUCCCCACACCGGCGCCUUGUUCCCCUCCCCUCCGACCGCCGCCUCGUUCCCCUACGCCCGCCGCCCGCGAAGGUUCAAUUUCGGAGACCACCGUCUGCAGUCCUCGCUCUCCUUCCGCCUGCGCUCGUCGUGAAUCACCUCCUCUCCGUCGACCAUGAAGAUCGCCCCUCCAUGGACGCCGUCGACCCGAGCACUGGGAAGCACGGGUGCCCCUUCUCCAAUCCGCAAACGGUGCCUUCCACCAGCGGCGCUCCGUCCGACGGAGCCGUCCUUCCCCGAGGGUGGCGAGCCGGAGCUGGCACUGCCCUUCGUCGACCCCCUCCUCGCCGUAUGGCUGCCUCGCCGCCCAGCAGCCACCACCACUGUCCACCUGGCCGUCAACCUCAUCCAGUACUACAGAGCGAAGGUGAGAUUCAGUGUACUCUACGAACUGCUUCAAAAUGUAGGGCAUUUUGGGACACACACAGGUAA
rnacentral:rRNA from 1 species